CGAGAAGACCCUGUGGAGCUUUAGGCACUAAAACUGAUUAUGUAAAAACCUCUUACAAAAGAAUAUAACCUUAUGAAGACAGUUUAAUUGCCUUUGGUUGGGGCGACCAAGG
rnacentral:rRNA from 1 species